UGGUUCUCUCCGAAAUGCAUUUAGGUGCAGCGUCGGAUCGAUUACAUCCGGGGGGUAGAGCGACUGGAUGCUUGCGGGCCCAUAUCGGGUACCAACAGCAACCAAACUCCGAAUACCCGUGAUGCGUAUCCCGGCAGUGAGUCGGCGGGGGAUAAGCUCCGUCGUCGAAAGGGAAACAGCCCAGAUCGUCGUCUAAGGUCCCCAAGCGUGUGCUAAGUGGGAAAGGAUGUGGAGUCGCAUAGACAGCCAGGAGGUUGGCUCAGAAGCAGCCACCCUUGAAAGAGUGCGUAACAGCUCACUGGUCUAGUGGUUCCGCGCCGACAAUGUAGCGGGGCUCAAGCACACCACCGAAGACGCGGCAGUAGCUUUGCUACUGGGUAGGAGAGCGUCCCAUGCGGGGCGAAGCGGCGGCGCAAGCCCGCCGUGGACCGCAUGGGAGUGAGAAUGCAGACAUGAGUAGCGAAAGACGGGUGAAGAUCCCGUCCGCUGGACGACCAAGGGUUCCAGGGCCACGUUCAUCGUCCCUGGGUGAGUCGGGUCCUAAGGCGAGGCCGACAGGCGUAGUCGAAUGGAUGAACGGGUCGAUAUUCCCGUACCGGCAUGCAACCGACAAAACCGAAUCCGCGAGUACUAACCUCCGGGUCCGGGCUUACGUCUCCUUCGGGAGCCGGAUGCCCUGGCCUGUUGGGACCGUAACGGUAGUAGGUCAGCGCGGGAGUGACGCAGAAGGGUAGCCGGCCGCGGAGGUGGUCUUCCGUGGUCAAGCACGCAGCCCGUCCCACAGGCAAAUCCGUGGGGCGCGUGGGCGAGGUGCGAUGAUGGGCGCCGCAGGGCGCGAUAUCCGGUGAUCCCGGCUGCCGAGAAAAGCUUCGGCGUGAGGCGGCGUGCCGCCCGUACCCCAAACCGACACUGGUGGUCAGGUAGAGAAUACCAAAGCGAUCGAGCGAAUCCUGGUCAAGGAACUCGGCAAAUCACUCCCGUUCCUUCGGUUUAAGGGAGACCCCCGAUGGUGAAGCGGCUUGCCCGUGGAGCUUUUGGGGGUGGCACAGACCAGGGGGUAGCGACUGUUUACCAAAAACACAGGAGCGUGCGAAGGCGCAAGCCGCUGUAUACGCUCUGACGCCUGCCCGGUGCCGGAAGGUUAAGAGGAUCCGUCAGGCCUCGGCCGAAGCGGUGAAUUCAAGCCCCGGUAAACGGCGGUGGUAACUAUAACCAUCCUAAGGUAGCGAAAUUCCUUGUCGGGUAAGUUCCGACCUGCACGAAUGGCGUAACGACUUCCCCACUGUCUCGACCAGGAGCUCGGCGAAAUUGCAGUACGAGUAAAGAUGCUCGUUAAGCGCAGAAGGACGAAAAGACCCCGGGACCUUUACUAUACCUUGGUAUUGGCAUUCGGUGUGGAUUGUGUAGCAUAGGCGGAAGGCUUCGAAGCCACGGCGCCAGCCGCGGUGGAGCCGCAAGGUGAAAUACCGCUCUGUUCGCAUUGGAUGUCUAACCUCGACCAGUCAUCCUGGUCAGGGACAGUGCCUGGCGGGUAGUUUAACUGGGGCGGUUGCCUCCCAAAGAGUAACGGAGGCGCUCAAAGGUUCCCUCAGCCCGGUUGGCAAUCGGGUGGCGAGUGUAAGUGCACAAGGGAGCUUGACUGCGAGACUGACGGGUCGAGCAGGGACGAAAGUCGGAACUAGUGAUCCGGUGCCGGUGUACGGACGCGGCAUCGCUCAACGGAUAAAAGGUACCCCGGGGAUAACAGGCUGAUCAUUCCCAAGAGUCCAUAUCGACGGGAUGGUUUGGCACCUCGAUGUCGGCUCGUCGCAUCCUGGGGCUGGAGCAGGUCCCAAGGGUUCGGCUGUUCGCCGAUUAAAGCGGCACGCGAGCUGGGUUCAGAACGUCGUGAGACAGUUUGGUCUCUAUCCUCUGCGCUCGUCGGAAUGUUGAGGAGGCCUGCCCAUAGUACGAGAG
rnacentral:rRNA from 1 species